rnacentral:rRNA from 1 species
UCAGGAUGAACGCUAGCGGCAGGCCUAACACACGCAAGUCGAGGGGUAACAGAGAGAAGCUUGCUUUUCUGCUGACGACCGGCGCACGGGUGCGUAACGCGUAUACAAUCUGCCUUAUACAGAGGGAUAGCCUUUAGAAAUGAAGAUUAAUACCUUAUAGUCUAUUUUUAUAGCAUUAUAUAAAUAGUAAAGCUUCGGUGGUAUAAGAUGAGUAUGCGUCCUAUUAGUUAGUUGGUAAGGUAACGGCUUACCAAGACAACGAUAGGUAGGGGCCCUGAGAGGGGGAUCCCCCACACUGGUACUGAGACACGGACCAGACUCCUACGGGAGGCAGCAGUGAGGAAUAUUGGACAAUGGAGGCAACUCUGAUCCAGCCAUGCCGCGUGCAGGAAGACGGCCCUAUGGGUUGUAAACUGCUUUUAUAUAGGAAGAAACCUUUUCACGUGUGAGAAGCUGACGGUACUAUAAGAAUAAGGACCGGCUAACUCCGUGCCAGCAGCCGCGGUAAUACGGAGGGUCCGAGCGUUAUCCGGAAUCAUUGGGUUUAAAGGGUCCGUAGGCGGGAAUCUAAGUCAGUGGUGAAAUCUUGCAGCUCAACUGUAAAAUUGCCAUUGAUACUGGAUUUCUUGAAUUAGUGUGAAGUGGUUAGAAUGUGUAGUGUAGCGGUGAAAUGCAUAGAUAUUACACAGAAUACCAAUUGCGAAGGCAGAUCACUAACACUAUAUUGACGCUGAGGGACGAAAGCGUGGGGAGCGAACAGGAUUAGAUACCCUGGUAGUCCACGCCGUAAACAAUGGAUACUAGCUGUUCGAUCUUCGGAUUGAGUGGCUAAGCGAAAGUGAUAAGUAUCCCACCUGGGGAGUACGUUCGCAAGAAUGAAACUCAAAGGAAUUGACGGGGGCCCGCACAAGCGGUGGAGCAUGUGGUUUAAUUCGAUGAUACGCGAGGAACCUUACCAGGGCUUAAAUGUAGUCUGACAGCUUUAGAGAUAGAGUUUUCUUCGGACAGAUUACAAGGUGCUGCAUGGUUGUCGUCAGCUCGUGCCGUGAGGUGUCAGGUUAAGUCCUAUAACGAGCGCAACCCCUGUUGUUAGUUGCCAGCGAGUAAUGUCGGGAACUCUAACAAGACUGCCGGUGCAAACCGUGAGGAAGGUGGGGAUGUCGUCAAAUCAUCACGGCCCUUACGUCCUGGGCCACACA